UAAAGUUGUUGCAGUUAAAAAGCUCGUAGUUGAAUUUUAAGCCUGGCCGGGCGGUCCGUCUUUGGUGAGUACUGUCUGCUGUCGGGUCUUCCUUCUGGUGAACCAGUACACCCUUUAUUGGGUGUGUUGGGGAGCCAGAACCAUUACCUUGAAAAAAUUAGAGUGUUUAAAGCGGGCUAUUGCUUGAAUAGAUUAGCAUGGAAUAAUAGAAUAGGACGUUGUGGUUCUAUUUUGUUGGUUUCUAGGACCACCGUAAUGAUUAAUAGGG
rnacentral:rRNA from 1 species